rnacentral:rRNA from 1 species
CACGUAGGGCGCAAGCGUUGUUCGGAAUUACUGGGCGUAAAGGGCUCGUAGGCGGCCAACUAAGUCAUACGUGAAAUCCCUCGGCUUAACCGGGGAGCUGCGUCUGAUACUGGAUGGCUUGAGUUCGGGAGAGGGAUGCGGAAUUCCAGGUGUAGCGGUGAAAUGCGUAGAUAUCUGGAGGAACACCGGUGGCGAAGGCGGCAUCCUGGACCGAUACUGACGCUGAGGAGCGAAAGCCAGGGGAGCAAACGGG